GAUGGAGCAACGCCGCGUGAGUGAAGAAGGCUUUCGGGUCGUAAAACUCUGUUGUUGGAGAAGAAUGGUCGGCAGAGUAACUGUUGUCGGCGUGACGGUAUCCAACCAGAAAGCCACGGCUAACUACGUGCCAGCAGCCGCGGUAAUACGUAGGUGGCAAGCGUUAUCCGGAUUUAUUGGGCGUAAAGCGAGCGCAGGCGGUUUUUUAAGUCUGAUGUGAAAGCCCUCGGCUUAACCGAGGAAGUGCAUCGGAAACUGGGAAACUUGAGUGCAGAAGAGGACAGUGGAACUCCAUGUGUAGCGGUGAAAUGCGUAGAUAUAUGGAAGAACACCAGUGGCGAAGGCGGCUGUCUGGUCUGUAACUGACGCUGAGGCUCGAAAGCAUGGGUAGCGAACAGGAUUAGAUACCCUGGUAGUCCAUGCCGUAAACGAUGAAUGCUAGGUGUUGGAGGGUUUCCGCCCUUCAGUGCCGCAGCUAACGCAUUAAGCAUUCCGCCUGGGGAGUACGACCGCAAGGUUGAAACUCAAAGGAAUUGACGGGGGCCCGCACAAGCGGUGGAGCAUGUGGUUUAAUUCGAAGCAACGCGAAGAACCUUACCAGGUCUUGACAUCUUUUGAUCACCUGAGA
rnacentral:rRNA from 2 species